UAGGAGGUGCCUGAUAAAAGGAGUAUUUUGAUAUAAUAGCGCAUGUAAACAAAAGUUUACCCUUCUAA
rnacentral:tRNA from 1 species